UUAACAUCAGAAAGAGGAAACAGUUCAGGAAAAAAGAUGCAGACCUGGCAAGUUCUUCUUUGUGGGGGAGAAAAGAAGAAGAAGAAGAAGGAGAAAUGGUGAAGACUUUUGUCUUUUCUUCAGAUGGAGAGAGGGCAGAGGAGGGAGCCCUGGCUGGUGCACUGCCUGAGGACUGUGCUGCUGAUGGUGCAGGCUGUAAGUGACAGGAGUCAAAACUCGCCUCAAAAUGCACCGAGCACAGACACAGCAGGUUGCACAGAAGCCUACAAUCCUCCUGUAUCUGAAAUAUUUCCUGCUAUCUUUAAAGAUUUUCCUUCUCACAGACUUGCUUUUUGAGAGAAGAAACAUUGAUGCAGC
rnacentral:lncRNA from 1 species